UAUGUGAUCGUCUCUCGCAUAUCAAUAAGCGGAGGAAAAGAAACUAACAAGGAUUCCCCUAGUAACGGCGAGUGAAGCGGGAAGAGCUCAAAUUUGAAAUCUUAAAGGGUUUCCCUUUACGAAUUGUAGUUUAAAGAAGUGUUUUCUGUUGAGGUUUUGGUAAAAGUUCUUUGGAAUAGGACAUCAUAGAGGGUGAGAAUCCCGUAUUUGACCUUUACUUUCAACUUUGUGAUACACUUUCAAAGAGUCGGAUUGUUUGGGAAUGCAGUCCAAAAUGGGUGGUAAAUUUCAUCUAAAGCUAAAUAUUGGCGAGAGACCGAUAGCGAACAAGUACCGUGAGGGAAAGAUGAAAAGAACUUUGAAAGGAGAGUUAAACAGUACGUGAAAUUGUCAAAAGGGAGGCGUUUGACACCAGUGUUGUUUUUCUGAAAAUCAAUUAAAGAACUGUUUAUGCUAAGUUGUUUAGACUUUAUCAGCUAACUGUUUAGUUUUGAGCUUUUCUUUAAUGCACUUUUCAGUUAACAAGUCAACAUCAAUUUCUUUUGCUGUAAAAAAGCUUGAGGAAGGUGGCUUGAGAUUCGUCUUAAGUGUUUAUAGCCUCUUGCCUAUGCAGUCGGAGAGAUUGAGGUCUGCAGCGUAGAUCCUUCGGGGCUAAAUGCAUUUGUGCUAAGUUAUAGCAUUUUAUAGACAACUUGUUGACUAUGAUUUGUCUUGUAGCUUACUCGCUUAUGUUAUUUUACCUACGCUUAGGAUGUUGAGUAGCGACAUACGCAC
rnacentral:rRNA from 1 species